rnacentral:rRNA from 1 species
GACGAACGCUGGCGGCGUGCCUAAUACAUGCAAGUCGAGCGAAGUUUUUCUGGUGCUUGCACUAGAAAAACUUAGCGGCGAACGGGUGAGUAACACGUAAAGAACCUGCCUCAUAGACUGGGACAACUAUUGGAAACGAUAGCUAAUACCGGAUAACAGUAUUUCUCGCAUGAGAGAUUUUUAAAAGUUGGUUAUGCUAACACUAUGAGAUGGCUUUGCGGUGCAUUAGCUAGUUGGUGGGGUAAAGGCCCACCAAGGCGACGAUGCAUAGCCGACCUGAGAGGGUGAUCGGCCACACUGGGACUGAGACACGGCCCAGACUCCUACGGGAGGCAGCAGUAGGGAAUCUUCCGCAAUGGGCGAAAGCCUGACGGAGCAACGCCGCGUGAGUGAAGAAGGAUUUCGGUUCGUAAAGCUCUGUUGUUAGGGAAGAAUGGAUAUGUAGUAACUAUACAUGUAAGAGACGGUACCUAACCAGAAAGCCACGGCUAACUACGUG